rnacentral:rRNA from 1 species
AACUCAAAGGAAUUGACGGGGACCCGCACAAGCGGUGGAGCAUGUGGUUUAAUUCGACGCUACGCGAAGAACCUUACCAGGUCUUGACAUCCCAUUGACCGGUAUAGAGAUAUACCUUUCCCUUCUGGGGACAAUCGGUGACACGGUGGUGCACUGGUUGUCGUCAGGCUCGUGUCUGUGAGAUGUCUGGGUUAAGUCCCCGUAAGCGAGUCGCAACCCCUCGACACUUAGUCUGCCAGCCAUUAAUGUUGGGCACUUCUAAGGUGUACUGCCUGGUGAUAAANCCGGAGGAAGGUGGGGAUGACGUCAAAUCAUCAUGCCCCUUAUGACCUGGGCUACACACGUGCUACAAUGGACGGUACAGAGGGUUGCCAACCCGCGAGGGGGAGCUAAUCCCAUAAAACCGUUCCCAGUUCGGAUCGCAGGCUGCAACUCGCCUGCAUGAAGCAGGAAUCGCUAGUAAUCGUGGAUCAGCAUGCCACGGUGAUACGUUCCCGG